CUCUUCCUGCCGCGCUCCCUCAGAACUGGCUGAAGAACACUAGCUACUUCUCCAGCUGCGUGCCGCCAUGUUCCCUGUCAUGGGGAUAAAGGGACUAAAUCCCUCUGAAACGGUUCAUCUAUGAAGCAGCUGGCUCCAGAACCUUCUGCCUGCCUAAGGCCGAAUAAUGCUCUGCUUCUGAGUAUGCUGACUUGGGUUGUCUGUUUACCUCACUGCUGGCUGCUGGCUGCUGUCCCCCUGGGAGCUCCCUGCUUGGCUGCUGUGGCUAAUGCUGCCAGGAGGAGCAGCGCUGUUUUCUGUGGACCCUUGUCUAGUUGUGGCGGUUGCUGGGAAAGAUGAAGUCCCCAGACUGGAGCUCAGGCUGCAAAGAGGCUGGCAUGGCACCUGGAUACCGAGCCACUCCUUGACAAAAGCCCUCUCCAGCCUGCGUGGACCUCGCGUGAGAGAAGUCUAGGUGGCUGUGGGCAGCCCACAGGCUUCCGUUGCCGCUGCGUUACAGCUUGUCGUCUUAAUCUUGAAAUGAGACCUGGUUCACUUGAUCUCAUUAAUAAAAGGUCUGUGCUCCCCCUAGUCAUAAAAACACGCCACCCUCCUGUUCACUGUCCUCUGAAGGAGCUGUUUUAUUUCAGUGUUUUUAAGGUGGUACUGGAUCCAUAGGCUCACACGGCCCCUACUUUCUUGGUGCUAUCUGAUGAUGUACCUUAAGCCCCCAGAGAAGUCGCUAGGUACCAGCAUUAUGGACUUUGAUGGAGACGUCACCUUAGAUGCUUAUCAGCCUGUAAAGUAAAAUUCCAAUUUUCC
rnacentral:lncRNA from 1 species